GACGAACGCUGGCGGCGUGCUUAACACAUGCAAGUCGAACGGGAUUUAGUAGACAGAAGCUUCGGUGGAAGAUUACUAAUGAGAGUGGCGAACGGGUGAGUAACGCGUGAGCAACCUGCCUAUGACAGUGGGAUAGCCUCGGGAAACCGGGAUUAAUACCGCAUAAAAUCGUAGAAACACAUGUUUUAACGGUCAAAGAUUUAUCGGUCAUAGAUGGGCUCGCGUCUGAUUAGCUAGUUGGUGAGAUAACAGCCCACCAAGGCGACGAUCAGUAGCCGGUCUGAGAGGAUGAACGGCCACAUUGGAACUGAGACACGGUCCAAACUCCUACGGGAGGCAGCAGUGGGGAAUAUUGCACAAUGGGGGAAACCCUGAUGCAGCGACGCCGCGUGAACGAAGAAGGUAUUCGUAUCGUAAAGUUCUGUCCUAUGGGAAGAUAAUGACAGUACCAUAGAAGAAAGCUCCGGCUAAAUACGUGCCAGCAGCCGCGGUAAUACGUAUGGAGCGAGCGUUGUCCGGAAUUAUUGGGCGUAAAGGGUACGCAGGCGGUUUAAUAAGUCGAAUGUUAAAGAUCGGGGCUCAACCCCGUAAAGCAUUGGAAACUGAUAAACUUGAGUAGUGGAGAGGAAAGUGGAAUUCCUAGUGUAGUGGUGAAAUACGUAGAUAUUAGGAGGAAUACCAGUAGCGAAGGCGACUUUCUGGACACAAACUGACGCUGAGGUACGAAAGCGUGGGGAGCAAACAGG
rnacentral:rRNA from 1 species